rnacentral:ncRNA from 1 species
CAAGGAUAAAAACGCAAUACAUAUAUACAGCGAUAUGUUAGAGCCGGUAGGUAGCCCGGCCGUCACAUUUUUAUGUGGUAAGUAACCUGCCCCUCCUGGGUUGUCCAUUCCUUGGGUAUUG